AUACGAAGGGGGCUAGCGUUGUUCGGAAUUACUGGGCGUAAAGCGCGCGCAGGCGGUCCUUUAAGUCAGGGGUGAAAGCCCAGAGCUCAACUCUGGAAUUGCCUUAGAAACUAGAGGACUUGGGUACGGGAGAGGUGAGUGGAAUUCCGAGUGUAGAGGUGAAAUUCGUAGAUAUUCGGAAGAACACCAGUGGCGAAGGCGGCUCACUGGCCCGUUACCGACGCUCAGGCGCGACAGCGUGGGGAGCAAACAGGA
rnacentral:rRNA from 1 species